rnacentral:rRNA from 1 species
UACGUAGGGUGCGAGCGUUAAUCGGAAUUACUGGGCGUAAAGCGUGCGCAGGCGGUUAUUUAAGACAGAUGUGAAAUCCCCGGGCUCAACCUGGGAACUGCGUUUGUGACUGGAUAGCUAGAGUACGGCAGAGGGGGGUAGAAUUCCACGUGUAGCAGUGAAAUGCGUAGAUAUGUGGAGGAAUACCGAUGGCGAAGGCAGCCCCCUGGGUCGAUACUGACGCUGAGGCGCGAAAGCGUGGGUAGCAAACAGG